AAUUGGAGCGCAAAUUGGGUGGUAAAUUUCAUCUAAAGCUAAAUAUUGGUUCGAGACCGAUAGCAAACAAGUACCAUGAGGGAAAGGUGAAAAGGACUUUGAAAAGAGAGUUAAAAGUGCCUGAAAUUGCUGAAAGGGAAGCGAAUGGAACCAGUUUUUCUUGGCGAGAUUGUUGCGUGCUAAUGUGAUGGCUUGUUGCUUCAACGCAAGUGUUGCAGCGGGUUUUGAUCUGGACGUGCGCGGUGCUUCUUGCCUUGGGUGUCAACGUCGGUUCAGACUUGAGGAAAACUCCAGGGACAUGGUUAGUCACUUCUGGGUGACUGAACGUGCUUGGCAGAACUCAUUUCUGAACUGAAUUCCGCAUGUCUGGUCGCAGUGCUUUCACCUCCUGGGCUUUGUUCACUGCUCUUAAGUGGGCCUCUGUGCAUGGGACAGGACGUGGGGCAUCUCCCUGACAUCAGUACGAUG
rnacentral:rRNA from 1 species